GGCUGCCAGGGAGGGUUGGCAGAUCAGGCUGGCAAGAGGCUGCUGCCCUCCUUCCUCGUGGUUCGCAGGAAUCUCUGGCCAAAGCUGCUUGCUCAGUGGAAGGAACUGGCCUUCCCCAAGGAGAAAACCAGAAUUUGGUCAGGGUUCUAGAAGUAUCUGUAUUGCCCCCAAACAAGCUUACCAAAAUCAAAAGUAAACAAUAUAUUUCCAUGGACAAAAAAAAAAAAAAAAGAAAUAUGACAUUCUCAUCCAUUUGUCAUU
ensembl:misc_RNA 7SK 7SK RNA